rnacentral:ncRNA from 1 species
ACUAUCGACUAUAGCUAAAUUUACACAUGCAAGUAUCCGCGCCCCCGUGAGAAUGCCCUUCAUUCCCUGCUCGAGAAUAAGGAGCUGGUAUCAGGCACACUUAAAUGAAGCCCACGACACCUUGUUUAGCCACACCCUCAAGGGAAUCCAGCAGUGAUAGACAUUAAGCCAUGAGUGAAAACUUGACUUAGUUAAUGCUAUAAAGGGCCGGUAAAACUCGUGCCAGCCACCGCGGUUAUACGAGUGACCCAAGUUGAUAGUUGUCGGCGUAAAGAGUGGUUAAGACGAAAAUAAACUAAAGCCGAAUGCCCUCAGAGCUGUUAUACGCUUCCGAAGGUAAGAAGCCCAACUACGAAAGUGGCUUUAUGAUAUCUGAUCCCACGAAAGCUAGGGCACAAACUGGGAUUAGAUACCCCACUAUGCCUAGCCGUAAACAUUGACAGUACAUCACACCCACUGUCCGCCCGGGAAUUACGAGCACCAGCUUAAAACCCAAAGGACUUGGCGGUGCUUUAGACCCACCUAGAGGAGCCUGUCCUAGAACUGAUAAUCCCCGUUAAACCUCACCCUUCCUUGCUUUUUCCGCUUAUAUACCACCGUCGCCAGCUUACCCUUUGAGGGAUUAAUAGUAAGCAAAAUCGGUACAACCCAGAACGUCAGGUCGAGGUGUAGCGUAUGGAAGGGGAAGAGAUGGGCUACAUUCACUAGUACAGUGAAUACGAAUGAUCACUCUGAAACGAGUAUCUGAAGGAGGAUUUAGCAGUAAGCAAAAAGCAGAGUGUUUUGCUGAAGCCGGCUCUGAAGCGUGCACACACCGCCCGUCAUUCUCCCCGAGCUAUCCUUAAAAAAAUAACUAAUACCCUAUAACUGUAAAGGGGAGACA